GAAACGACCAUCAUCAUUUAUCUUUUCCAACAUUAUUGCUGGAUUACACAUUUCUGUAAAAAAGAAUGAAGACAAUGAAAAAUUGUAAUGGCAGUUUUGUUCCUGUGAUACAAUGUUGUCCAUCCAUUUUGUUUUGGAAAAAAACAGAUGCUGAUAAAGCAGAUUAGCCUGAGUACAUGUACUUUAAAAGCUGUAAUUGUGAGGUAAUUAUUAAUUAAAAAAGAACCUUGAUAUGAUUUGAAUCAUUUGUUUCAGUAUUAAAAUCAGUUUGUCAACUUUUAUAUACUUGUGUCAAAUUAAACACAAAGCCAUGGUAAGCGAUGAAAUAUUUAAAUAUCAUAGCUCAACUACUAUGUACUGAUCAAUACAAAAGUUGAAAUGAGUUUAAAGGGUGUUACCAUGUACAUUGUACUACCCUUGUUAAGUAGCAAGUAAAUGUAGUCUUACUCUUACAUUGAGUGUUAAUGAGGAAACUCAAUUGAAAAUUGCACCUUUGAUAAAAGUUGUAUGUCACCAGCGGUAAAACUUAAGCUGAAUGUUCUUCGUAACAUCAUUUGUAUUUCAAAGUCAAUCAGUAAAAAAACAAUACUUAUUAACAAUGUUUUGUAUCUUCUUAUGUUGUUUGAUUUAGAUGGAGGAUGGAAGAAAGCAAACAGAAGCAAUAAAUACAAGUAAUUAUAAAAUUACACAUUUAAGAUUGACUUAUUGCAAUCACAUGUUGUCAUAUGUAGUAUUUUUCACAUGAUUUACAUUAAAGUUAUGUACAUAUGUAUAAAAAAAGGAAUUUGCAUCUAUUAUUGUUUGUUUAAAAGAGGAAAAAUAUGGUUUCCAAUGCUGUAACAAUUAAUUUAAAGUUAUACUAACUAGUGCUGACAAUUAAUGAUCCUCCUCAUUAACUAAAAAAAAAUGUGUUUUAAUAUAAAAAGAAAAAUUGGUAUGAUUGCAAAUGAGACAACUCUCCAUGUAAGAUCACAUGUGGUUGGUGUCAGCAACUUUAUUACUUACCAUUCAUGAUACAAAUCUAACAAACUAUAAAGAGUCACAAAAUGACUUGGAUAAAACAAUUUAAACAAGAAAAGAAAAAGGCUUGUUGUUACUAAGUUUACUUGCUGAUAUGAAUAAGCCAUCAUACUAAGAGGAAGAAGUGUCUGGUCAUGCAUGUAUUCAUGUAGUGAAUGUUAAGAUAGGUAAACUAAUUUUGUUCUUUGUUAUAUAUGUAAUUUAUAUACUUAAUAUUUACUAAUAUUUUUGCACACUUAUAAAUAGGUUCAUGUAUGAAUUGCUCCUCUCAUAAAAAUCCAGGAAAAGAAAACCAUGAGCAAGCUUCAAAAGAUAAAGUUGAUGAUAAUGAAUCCGGUAAGUAGAUCAUUUAUUAAAAUGCACCUAUGGUUGUAAAAGCCUUGACCUUUUACACAAGAUAAGCUCACCUGGCUUACCAUUGGUUGUACUUGGUAUAAUAGAUCAAAGUAACCACCAAGAUGAGGUUUUAUAUAAUAUGAGAUUUUUAUUGGUCAUACUAGUAAAAUAGAUCAAGGUAACCACCAGGAUGAGGUUUUAUAUAAUAUGAGAUUUUUAUUGGAUGUAACUUAGUAUAAUAGAUCAAGGUAACCACCAGGAUGAGGUUUUAUAUAAUAUGAGAUUUUUAUUGGAUGUACUUGGUAUAAUAGAUCAAGGUAACCACCAGGAUGAGGUUUUAUAUAAUAUGAGCUUUUUAUUGGUUGUACUUAGUGAAAUAGAUCAAGGUAACCACCAGGAUGAGGUUUUAUAUAAUAUGACCUUUUUAUUGGUUGUAAAUAGUAUAAUAGAUCAAGGUAACCACCAGGAUGAGGUUUUAUAUAAUAUGAGCUUUUUAUUGGAUUGUACUUAGUAUAAUAGAUCAAGGUAACCACCAGGAUGAGGUUUUAUAUAAUAUGACCUUUUUAUUGGUUGUACUUAGUAUAAUAGAUCAAGGUAACCACCAGGAUGAGGUUUUAUAAUAAAUGAGCUUUUUAUUGGUUGCACUAGUAUAAUAGAUCAAGGACCACCAGGAUGGUUUUAUGUAAUAUGAGCUUUUUAUUGGAUGAACUUAGUAUAAUAGAUCAAGGUAACCAGCAGGAUGAGGUUUUAUAUAAUAUGAGCUGCUUUAUUGGAUGUUCUUAGUAUAAUAGAACAAGGUAACCACCAGGAUGAGGUUUUAUAUAAUAUGAGCUUUUUAUUGGAUAUACUUAGUGUAAUAGAUCAAGGUAACCACCAGGAUGAGGUUUUAUAUAAAAUGAGCUUUUUAUUGGUUGCACUAGUAUAAUAGAUCAAGGUUACCACCACGAUGAGGUUUUAUGUAAUAUGAGCUUUUUAUUGUUUGUACUUAGUAUAAUAAAUCAAGGUAACCACCAGGAUGAGGUUUCAUAUAAUAUGAGCUUCUUUAUUGGUUGUACUUAGUAUAAUAGAACAAGGUUACCACCAGGAUGAGGUUUUACAUAAUAUGAGCUUUUUAUUGGAUAUACUUAGUGUAAUAGAACAAGGUAGCCACCAGGAUGAGGUUUUAUAUACUAUGAGCUUUUUAUUGGAUAUACUUAGUAUAAUAGAUCAGGGUAACUACCAGGAUGAGGUUUUAUAUAAUAAGAGCUUUUUAUUGGAUUACUUAGUAUAAUAGAUCAAGGUAACCACCAGGAUGAGGUUUUAUAUAAUAUGAGCUUUUUAUUGGUUGCACUAGUAUAAUAGAUCAAGGUAUCCACCAGGAUGAGGUUUUAUAUAAUAUGAGCUUUUUAUUGGUUGUACUUAGUAUAAUAGAAUCAAGGUAACCACCAGGAUGAGGUUUCAUAUAAUAUGAGCUUUUUAUUGGUUGUACUUAGUAUAAUAGAACAAGGUUACCACCAGGAUGAGGUUUUACAUAAUAUGAGCUUUUUAUUGGAUAUACUUAGUGUAAUAGAACAAGGUAGCCACCAGGAUGAGGUUUUAUAUACUAUGAGCUUUUUAUUGGAUAUACUUAGUAUAAUAGAUCAGGGUAACUACCAGGAUGAGGUUUUAUAUAAUAUGAACUUUUUAUUGGUUGCACUAGUAUAAUAGAUCAGGGUAACCACCAAGAUGAGGUUUUUAUAUAAUAUGAGCUUUUUAUUGGUUGCACUAGUAUAAUAGAUCAAGGUAACCACCAGGAUGAGGUUUUAUAUAAUAUGAGCUUUUUAUUGGUUGUACUUAGUAUAAUAGACCAAGGUAACCACCAGGAUGAGGUUUUAUAAAAUGAGCUUUUUAUUGGUUGCACUAGUAUAAUAGAUCAAGGUUACCACCAGGAUGAAGUUUUAUGUAAUAUGAGCUUUUUAUUGCUUGUAUUUAGUAUAAUAAAUCAAGGUAACCAGCAGGAUGAGGUUUUAUAUAAUAUGAGCUGCUUUAUUGGAUGUUCUUAGUAUAAUAGAACAAGGUAACCACCAGGAUGAGGUUUUAUAUAAAUAUGAGCUUUUUAUUGGAUUGUACUUAGUAUAAUAGAUCAAGGUAACCACCAGGAUGAGGUUUUAUAUAAUAUGAGAUUUUUAUUGGAUUGUACUUAGUAUAAUAGAUCAAGGUAACCACCAGGAUGAGGUUUUAUAUAAUAUGAGCCUUUUUAUUGGUUGUACUUAGUAUAAUAGAUCAAGGUAACCACCAGGAUGAGGUUUUAUAUAAUAUGAGCCUUUUUAUUGGUUGUACUUAGUAUAAUAGAUCAAGGUAACCACCAGGAUGAGGUUUUAUAUAAUAUGAGCUUUUUAUUGGUUGUACUUAGUAUAAUAGAUCAAGGUAACCACCAGGAUGAGGUUUUAUAUAAUAUGAGCUUUUUAUUGGUUGUACUUAGUAUAAUAGAUCAAGGUAACCACCAGGAUGAGGUUUUAUAUAAUAUGAGCUUUUUAUUGGUUGUACUUAGUAUAAUAGAUCAAGGUAACCACCAGGAUGAGGUUUUAUAUAAUAAUGAGCUUUUUAUUGGAUUGUACUUAGUAUAAUAGAUCAAGGUAACCACCAGGAUGAGGUUUUAUAUAAUAUGACUUUUUUAUUGGUUGUACUUAGUAUAAUAGAUCAAGGUAACCACCAGGAUGAGGUUUUACAUAAUAUGAGCUUUUUAUUGGUAUACUUAGUGUAAUAGAACAAGGUAGCCACCAGGAUGAGGUUUUAUAUACUAUGAGCUUUUUAUUGGAUAUACUUAGUAUAAUAGAUCAGGGUAACUACCAGGAUGAGGUUUUAUAUAAUAUGAACUUUUUAUUGGUUGCACUAGUAUAAUAGAUCAGGGUAACCACCAAGAUGAGGUUUUAUUCAAUAUGAGCUUUUUAUUGGUUGCACUAGUAUAAUAGAUCAAGGUAUCCACCAGGAUGAGGUUUUAUAUAAAAUGAGCUUUUUAUUGGUUGUACUUAGUAUAAUAGACCAAGGUAACCACCAGGAUGAGCUUUUUAUUGGUAUGAACUUAGUAAAUAGAUCAGGUAACUCCAGGAUGAGGUUUAUUAUAUGAGGUUUUUAUUGUAUGAACUUAGUAUAAUAGAUCAAGGUAACCACCAGGAUGAGGUUUAUAUAAUAAAGCUUUUUAUUGAUGAACUUAUUAAUAGAUCAACGUAACCACCAGGAUGAGGUUUUAUAUAAUAUGAGGUUUUUAUGUAUGAACUUAGUAUAAUAGAUCAAGUAACCACCAGGAUGAGGUUUUAUAAUAAGAGCUUUUUAUUGAGAACUAGUAUGAAGAUCAAGUAACCACCAGGAUGAGUUUUUAUAAUAUGAGAUUUUAUUUGUACUUGUAUAAUAGAUCAAGGUAACCACCAGAUGAAGGUUUAUAUAAAUAUGAGCUUUUUAUGUUGUACUUAGUAAAUAGAUCAAGGUAACCCAGGAUAGGUUUUAUAUAAUAUGACUUUUUAUUGGUUGUACUUAGUUAAUAGAUCAAGGUAACCACCAGGAUGAGGUUUAUAUAAAAAGAGCUUUUUAUUAGAUAACUAGUAAAUAGAUCAAGGUAACCACCAGGAUGAGGUUUUAUAUAAAUGUUUUUAUUGGUUGUACUUAGUUUCUGAGUCUAUAAUAGAUAUUGGUGAACUUAGUACUUUUUAUAUAAUAAGGAUUUGUGACCGGUUGUAUGUAAAUCUGUCCGUGAUGAACUCAACCAAAGGUUGACAACUACCAAUAAUGGAUUGGGUUUGAAGUUAAAAAUGGAGUUUCAGUUGUCCGUGCAUACGCAUGAACUGUUCUACCCCCAAAUCUGAUGCAAAAGGAGCAAUUUAAUAAUGAUUUUGAACUUCAGGAUAUGUUAUAGAUUGAAAAAUGGUUCCAGUAUUACUGAACUGUUCCCUAAGUAAAUUUUAUAUGUUAUGAUGACAAAUAGAGUAAGUUAAUGACGAUUUUGACUUUUACCAGAAUGGUUUUGAAAUGAGGUUUUCCAUCGUUGUGCAUUUUCUCAUAACCAUUCAACCAAAUUUUGAAAUUUUUAUAUGUUGUUAGAGCAAAUUAAAAGUCAAGUCAAUUAUGACAUUUUGACUUUACCAGGUUGGUUCUUGAAAGAUGUGAGCGUUUUCACGUUGUUACUCAUGAACCAUUCUAAGGAUGUGAUACGACAAAUUUGAAUUGACGAUUUCACUUUCAGUAAUGUUCUUGUGAUUAUAGAACAAAUAGGUUUGCUGUCUUGUACAGCCUCUUGAUUGGAUGAACUUAAAAUAGCAAGGUUUUUUAUAUGGAUUGGAUGAACUUAGUAUACAUAGUUAACCACCAGGAUGAGGUUUUAUAUAAUAUGAGGUUUUUAUUGGAUGAACUUAGUAUAAUAGAUCAAGGUAACCACCAGGAUGAGGUUUUAUAUAAUAAGAGCUUUUUAUUGGAUGAACUUAGUUUAGAUAAUAGAUCCACCAGGAUGAGGUUUUACUAUUGAACUUGUAUAAUAGAUCUAACCACCAGGAUGAGGUUUUUAUAAUAAGAGCUUUUUAUUAGAUGAACUUAGUAUAAUAGAUCAAGGUAACCACCAGGAUGAGGUUUUAUAUAAAAGAGCUUUUUAUUGGUUGUAUUUAGUACAAUAGAUCAAGGUAACCACCAGGAUGAGGUUUUUAUAUAAUAUAACCUUUUUAUUGGUUGUACUUAUUACAAUAUACCAAGGUAAUUAUCAGGAUGAGGUUUUUAUAUAAAAUGAGCAUUUAAUUGGUUGGACUUAGUACACUAGAUCAAGGUAACCACCAGGAUGAGGUUUUAUAUAAUAUGAGCUUUUUAUUGGUUGUACUUAGUGUAAUAGAUCAAGGUAACCACCAGGAUGAGGUUUUAUAUAAUAAGAGCUUUUUAUUGAUUGUACUAGGUAUAAUAAAUCAAGUUAUCCACCACACCAUGAAGUGAUACUUAACUACAAAAUUUAAAGAAUUUCUACCAAUAUGAAUACAAGGCUAUGUAUUACUUUAUUUCUCAUUUUCAUGCCCCACCUGCGAUAGUAGAGGGGCAUUAUGUUUUCUGGUCUGUGCCUCCAUUUGUCCGUCCGUCUGUCCCGCUUCAGGUUAAAGUUUUUGGUCAAGGUAGUUUUUGAUGAAGUUGAAGUCCAAUCAACUUGAAACUAGUAUACAUGUGCCCUAUGAUAUGAUCUUUCUAAUUUAAAUGCCAAAUUAGAGUUUUGACCCCAAUUUUACGGUUCACUGAAAUAGAAAAUGAUAGUGCAAAUUUCAGGUUAAGUUUUUGGUCAAGGUAGUUUUUUGAUAAAGUAGAAGUCCAAUCAACUUGAAACUUAAUGUACAUGUUCCCUUUGAUAACAUCAUUCUAAUUUAAAUGCCAAAUUAGAGAAUUUUUUCUAAUUUCACGGUCCACUAAACAUAGAAAAUGAUAGUGCGAGUGGGGCAUCCGUGUACUGUGGACACAUUCUUGUUGUUUUCUUUUUCAGAAUAGCUGAUAAUUAUCUUUACUUUUUCAUGCUGGAAGGAGCUUGGUGUGUUUCUGGAGGAAAUUGGUGAAUUAUGUUCUACUACAGAAGAGCAUGUAAUAAAUAUAUUGAAGAGGAAACAACCAAAGUAGUAGAUCUGUGUUGGCUACACUUCUGAUAAUUUUAUAUGUUUCGAAUGUCUGGAUCAUUUUAUUUUUAAGUACAAAUGGAUCAAAGCGUCCAUUGAAGGG
rnacentral:lncRNA from 1 species